UACGGGGGGGGCAAGCGUUGUUCGGAAUUACUGGGCGUAAAGGGCUCGUAGGCGGCCAACUAAGUCCGACGUGAAAUCCCCAGGCUUAACCUGGGAACUGCGUCGGAUACUGGAUGGCUUGAAUUCGGGAGAGGGAUGCAGAAUUCCAGGUGUAGCGGUGAAAUGCGUAGAUAUCAGGAGGAACACCGGUGGCGAAGGUGGAUCUCUGGGCCAUUACUGACGCUGAGGAGCGAAAGCGUGGGGAGCGAACAGG
rnacentral:rRNA from 1 species